rnacentral:rRNA from 1 species
UUAAACAUAAGAGUUUGAUCCUGGCUCAGGACGAACGCUGGCGGCGUGCCUAACACAUGCAAGUCGAGCGGAGAGGCGAGGGGGUUUACUCUGAGCCUCUUAGCGGCGGACGGGUGAGUAACACGUGGGUAACCUACCCCAAGGAGGGGGAUAACAGGUCGAAAGGCCUGCUAAUACCGCAUAAAGCUACUGGGGCGCAUGCUUUGGUAGCCAAAGGAGCGAUAGCUCCGCCUUGGGAUGGGCCCGCGGCCCAUUAGCUAGUUGGUGAGGUAACGGCUCACCAAGGCGACGAUGGGUAGCCGG